UAGGGAAUUGUUCGCAAUGGGCGCAAGCCUGACGACGCAACGCCGCGUGGAGGAUGAAGAUUUUCGGAUCGUAAACUCCUUUCGAUCGAGACGAAUGGCUUCCGGGUGAAUAAUCCGGAGGAAUGACGGUACCGAGAGAAGAAGCCCCGGCUAACUCCGUGCCAGCAGCCGCGGUAAUACGGGGGGGGCAAGCGUUGUUCGGAAUUACUGGGCGUAAAGGGCUCGUAGGCGGCCAACUAAGUCAGACGUGAAAUCCCUCGGCUUAACCGGGGAACUGCGUCUGAUACUGGAUGGCUUGAGUGUGGGAGAGGGAUGCGGAAUUCCAGGUGUAGCGGUGAAAUGCGUAGAUAUCUGGAGGAACACCGGUGGCGAAGGCGGCAUCCUGGACCAUUACUGACGCUGAGUGAGCGAAAGCCAGGGGAGCAAACGGGAUUAGAUACCCGGGUAGUCC
rnacentral:rRNA from 1 species